AGAGUUUGAUCAUGGCUCAGGAUGAACGCUGGCGGCGUGCCUAAUACAUGCAAGUCGAACGAGGUGCUUUUGUAGCAAUACGAGAGUAUCCUAGUGGCGAACGGGUGAGUAACGCGUUGGUGACCUACCCCAAAGUGUGGGGUACCAGUCCGAAAGGACUGCUAAUACCGCAUGUGGUCAUUGGGUUUAGAAACCGGUGACUAAAGGAGCAAUUCGCUUUGGGAGGGACCUGCGUCCCAUCAGCUAGUUGGUGAGGUAACGGCUCACCAAGGCGACGACGGGUAGGGGACCUGAGAGGGUGACCCCCCACAAUGGAACUGAAACACGGUCCAUACACCUACGGGUGGCAGCAGUAGGGAAUAUUGCUCAAUGGGCGAAAGCCUGAAGCAGCAACGCCGCGUGUGUGAUGAAGGCCUUCGGGUCGUAAAGCACUUUUCCGGGAGAUGAGAAAGGACAGUAUCCCAGGAAUAAGUCUCGGCUAACUACGUGCCAGCCGCCGCGGUAAUAC
rnacentral:rRNA from 1 species